CCUACGGGAGGCAGCAGUGGGGAAUAUUGCACAAUGGGCGAAAGCCUGAUGCAGCGACGCCGCGUGAGGGAUGACGGCCUUCGGGUUGUAAACCUCUUUCAGCAGGGAAGAAGCGAGAGUGACGGUACCUGCAGAAGAAGCGCCGGCUAACUACGUGCCAGCAGCCGCGGUAAUACGUAGGGCGCAAGCGUUGUCCGGAAUUAUUGGGCGUAAAGAGCUCGUAGGCGGCUUGUUGCGUCGGUUGUGAAAGCCCGGGGCUUAACCCCGGGUCUGCAGUCGAUACGGGCAGGCUAGAGUGUGGUAGGGGAGAUCGGAAUUCCUGGUGUAGCGGUGAAAUGCGCAGAUAUCAGGAGGAACACCGGUGGCGAAGGCGGAUCUCUGGGCCAUUACUGACGCUGAGGAGCGAAAGCGUGGGGAGCGAACAGGAUUAGAUACCCUGGUAGUCCACGCCGUAAACGUUGGGAACUAGGUGUUGGCGACAUUCCACGUCGUCGGUGCCGCAGCUAACGCAUUAAGUUCCCCGCCUGGGGAGUACGGCCGCAAGGCUAAAACUCAAGGAAUUGA
rnacentral:rRNA from 1 species